rnacentral:rRNA from 1 species
GAAUAUUGGACAAUGGGGGGAACCCUGAUCCAGCCAUGCCGCGUGUGUGAAGAAGGCCUUUUGGUUGUAAAGCACUUUAAGCGAGGAGGAGGAGCUCUUGGUUAAUACCCAAGAUGCUUGGACGUUACUCGCAGAAUAAGCACCGGCUAACUCUGUUCCAGCAGCCGCGGUAAUACAGAGGGUGCAAGCGUUAAUCGGAUUCACUGGGCAUAAAGCUCUCUUACAGUGCCAAUUAACUACCAUUUGAACUCCCCUGACUUAACUUUGUAAUUGCAUUCGAUACUGGUUGGCUAGAGUAUGGAACAUUAUAAUCAUCUUCCCGCUAUCUCUGUUCCCUCCCUACCACUCUAACUUCCUCCCUAUUUCGCCAUCCUCCAUCUUUCCUAAUACUGACACUGAGGUGAGAAAGCAUGGGGAGCAAA